rnacentral:rRNA from 1 species
UACGUAGGGGGCAAGCGUUGUCCGGAAUUAUUGGGCGUAAAGAGCGCGUAGGCGGUCCGAUAAGUCGGCUGUGAAAACUCGAGGCUCAACCUCGAGACGUCGGCGGAAACCAUCUGGCUAGAGUCCGGAAGAGGAGAGUGGAAUUCCUGGUGUAGCGGUGAAAUGCGCAGAUAUCAGGAAGAACACCCGUGGCGAAGGCGGCUCUCUGGGACGGUACUGACGCUGAGACGCGAAAGCGUGGGGAGCGAACAGG